UUACAGCUCAAAAUCUUUUAUUAUUAUCUUAAAAGAAUUCUUCAAAAGGAAUAUAAAAUAAUAAAAGAGGGUCUGACGCCAAUCAAUAGAAAAGCGAAAAGAAUAUACUUGAUAUUGAAAACAACUAAACCUAAUAAAAAAUUCCACAACACUAUUCAUCAUUGUCAUCAUUAUCACUAAUCCAGCCUCCAUGAACCCUACAUUUCUUGGAAGGUUAUCCCUCAUCGUCUGAAAUAGGUGGAGGUGCAUCUUCAUGAAUAUAUAUCUCAG
rnacentral:lncRNA from 1 species